UCAUAUUAAUGUGUAAAGUCACUGUUGAUACAUGUCUACUGAAUGCCAGGUCAUAUUAAUGUGUAAAGUGACUGUGGAUACAUGUCUACUGAAUGCCAGGUCAUAUUAAUGUGUAAAGUCACUGUUGAUACAUGUCUACUGAAUGCCAGGUCAUAUUAAUGUGUAAAGUCACUGUUGAUACAUGUCUACUGAAUGCCAGGUCAUAUUAAUGUGUAAAGUCACUGUUGAUACAUGUCUACUGAAUGCCAGGUCAUAUUAAUGUGUAAAGUCACUGUUGAUACAUGUCUACUGAAUGCCAGGUCAUAUUAAUGUGUAAAGUCACUGUUGAUACAUGUCUACUGAAUGCCAGGUCAUAUUAAUGUGUAAAGUCACUGUUGAUACAUGUCUACUGAAUGCCAGGUCAUAUUAAUGUGUAAAGUCACUGUUGAUACAUGUCUACUGAAUGCCAGGUCAUAUUAAUGUGUAAAGUCACUGUUGAUACAUGUCUACUGAAUGCCAGGUCAUAUUAAUGUGUAAAGUCACUGUUGAUACAUGUCUACUGAAUGCCAGGUCAUAUUAAUGUGUAAAGUCACUGUUGAUACAUGUCUACUGAAUGCCAGGUCAUAUUAAUGUGUAAAGUCACUGUUGAUACAUGUCUACUGAAU